rnacentral:rRNA from 1 species
CCUACGGGAGGCAGCAGUGGGGAAUAUUGGACAAUGGGGGCAACCCUGAUCCAGCCAUGCCGCGUGUGUGAAGAAGGCCCUCGGGUUGUAAAGCACUUUCAGUGAGGAAGAACGCCUGGUGGUUAAUACCCAUCAGGAAAGACAUCACUCACAGAAGAAGCACCGGCUAACUCCGUGCCAGCAGCCGCGGUAAUACGGAGGGUGCGAGCGUUAAUCGGAAUUACUGGGCGUAAAGCGCGCGUAGGUGGCUUGAUAAGCCGGUUGUGAAAGCCCCGGGCUCAACCUGGGAACGGCAUCCGGAACUGUCAAGCUAGAGUGCAGGAGAGGAAGGUAGAAUUCCCGGUGUAGCGGUGAAAUGCGUAGAGAUCGGGAGGAAUACCAGUGGUGAAGGCGGCCUUCUGGACUGACACUGACACUGAGGUGCGAAAGCGUGGGUAGCAAACAGGAUUAGAUACCCUAGUAGUC